AAUUGAAGGGUUUGAUCCUGGCUCAGAAUGAACGUUGGCGGCGUGGAUUAGGCAUGCAAGUCGAGCGGAAAGGCCCUUCGGGGCACUCGAGCGGCGAAAGGGAGAGUAACGCGUGGAUUAUCUACCCUCAGGACUGGGAUAGCCAGGGGAAACUCUGGGUAAUACCGGAUAACGUCUCCGGACCAAAGGUGUAAGUCCGCCUGAGGAUGAGUCCGCGUCCUAUUAGCUUGUUGGUGAGGUAACGGCUCACCAAGGCAAAGAUGGGUACGGGGUGUGAGAGCAUGACCCCGCUCACUGGGACUGAGACACUGCCCAGACACCUACGGGUGGCUGCAGUCGAGGAUCUUCGGCAAUGGGCGCAAGCCUGACCGAGCGACGCCGCGUGUGG
rnacentral:rRNA from 1 species